UAUAUAUAUAUAUGUAUGUAACAGUUUUCUGUAUGGCUGUUGCCUUCAGUAACACAAAUGUGAUUGAAGUUUAUAAGCCAGAAAGAACAUUGAUGAGAAACAAGGAUUAUAUGAGGCAAGGAAAAAUCCUAGUCUUGCUUCCAAGUCAUUAUUGCGCAAACACCUGUCUCGAUAGAAAAUGAAAAAGGUGAAGAGACGAAAUUGAUUGAAGUUAUUGAUCAACUUCUGUCGGUUUUUCUGAUUGCAAAUUCUCCUUUUUCGCUUUUAUUUUUCGUUUAACGUAUAUACGUUGGCUUAGAAAUACUUUAACUUGCGACGUUAUAUUAAGUUACCCGUACAUUAAGGCGUGAAAUAAUAAUUCGGAACUGUUUGUUGACCGAAUAAGCGGAUUGUUUUUUAGAAAAGUGCAGCAGUUUUAUCGAAGGAAAAAAAAAUAAAAAAUAGUUUCUUUGGCUAUCUAUAGACGAUAAUCUUAUCUGUUUUACGCUAAAAUGAUUCGUAAUUGUACAAUUGUAAAGUUGAAGUUAAAGUUUAUAUAAACUGUGACAAAUUACAAGUGAUGCGCAACCGGACAUCUGCACUUAAGUGGAAAGAUAACUUUAACAUUGUUAUUGACUUGUACUCCUGUAGAUCGAAUAGGUAAUCAGUUUUGGCGAUAAAGGCAACUAGAACAACUGCAGAAAUAAAGCCAACAGUGGAGCAACUUAGAAUGUAAGCGUUUAGAGUAAAACCCAACGGUCCCGACCGUCUCUUAACUCACGAAAUAGUUGGAAUCGAUUGAUUAGUUGAUAGUGCCAAGCUGAACCCUCCUGGCGACAAGACUUGAGGUAGGACAUCUAAACGAAGUCGAGGAAGUUAUUUGUCAUGUGACAUUAGUCGGACAGGCACGUGACACUACUGUAGACUGGGAUCUGUUUGGUCGACGUGCUCAGAAACGUCUUCGAUGCACCGUGCAAAGGAUGAAGACACUGUCUUGAUCCACCUUCAAAUUCCUUUUCCGACUCUAGAAAAUUAAGUUCUUACCAUGGUCAUUACAACGGUCACACACGCUCAACUAUCACUCUUUUUUCUGAUGAACUUUCUUUGGCUUCUUUUUUUUUUUUUAUCUUUCAUAAAGUGAAAAAGUGGAAAUUGUAUCGGGGAAUUUCUGUAAAACGUGUAAUAAUAAAAUAUUUCAUUAAAUGAAUGAAUAGGGCAAGUGGAAUGACGUGUAGGUAAGAAUUACAAGUCGGGAUAUUUCGCUUUAAAAAUAAUAUUGGUGAGUGCAUGUGUGGUGUUCUUGCCCAAGCGCUUCAUAUCAUCACCGAUUGCCCAAUACGUUUAAUCCACUUAAUACUGUAUCCAGUCAUCCGGCAACUUCGCAUCACUUCCUACCGUGAGUGAACUUAACUAACGCUAUCGGUAAUUGCUAUUCCGGAAUGAAUCAGUACAGUAACUAGACAUCCCCGAGCGGGUUCCGGUCUUUCCGACUCCCAGAAGUGAGGAGUUCAUGAGGCAGAAGGAAAACAUAGAUUUUCUGAGCACCCAAAUGGCAACGCUAAUCAGAGUUUAUUGUAGUUGGAGCUAGAGGAAAGACGCUCAUAUAUUCAUGGUGAGUUUGGAGUCGAAUGCAUUCAUAAGGUUGAUGCAUUUGUCCGGGUUGUCUCCGCCCCUACUGGAAUGGUGCGGGGGAGACGACUCUGCAGUUUGCAUUCGGACAAUUGUGAUGUAAAUGCCGGUUUGGGGAUGGGGAGUGCGACAAGUAAAAGUGACAAGUAGUAUAGCAUCCAUCAGUCAUGUGGUGGCCAUUAGCAUGCGGGACGGUGUUACUAUGAAUAGGUCUUUCCACCGACAGCGCUGCUGUCUGUUUGUCGCCUGUGCAACUGCUUGGAGGUUUUUUCUUCGUUACACACGUUCUCUCGCACAGUCUCUACGACGUUCUUGUUUGAGAUCCCCCCGUUCCUUUUAAGUGAAUUUGAAAUGUCAGUCUCGCUACUCCGCCCUCCCCAACUGUAACUGUGCCACAAAAGACCACUUCAGUUCGCUCUUUUCUGACUGGUUGACGGUCUGCACAUCAGAACGUUUGCCUUUCUAAGAAACACUCUACUCAGUUUAAUUUUGUGUGAUUUGUUUAUACUUUACAAAUUGCUGCUAGAUUAUUAUUAUUG
rnacentral:lncRNA from 1 species